CGAUACCACUAAAAUGUAAACGUUUGGUAAAGAAGUUUACGUUGCUUUGUCCAGAGCGUUCACACAGCACAGCAGCAGAUCUGUUAAGCUGCUCUGAUGCUAAAGCUUUAAGUAAAGAAGUGGACAAUGAGUACUAACUGUGCUCGCAUGUCAACAGAUGCAUCUCCAUGACAAGUCAACAAACGCAAUACAACGAUGAAGACCAUGUGAUGCGGGUUAAUGCUCAAGAGCAGGGGUGUCAAACAUGCGGCCCGCCAGAGGGUCCAAUCCAGAUAGAUUUUCUUUAAAUCAAUCCACAAUUUUAGUAAAGAUUUCAUUUUGAUGCUUAUUAUUUUUUGUAAUUUGGGUGAGUCGGUCGGCCAAUCCUUCAAAUACGCCGUCAUCUUUAUGUUUGCUGGUUUUGUGUUGUGAUGGAAAUCAGACAGAUUUCAUGUAAAGUUUUUGAGAUACCAUAGCAGCAGACACUAACAGGGGAAACCCACAGGAGAGAUUUGUCAUCAGGCUGAGUUAUAACGGUGUGAAAGAAGCUUCUGAGUCAUAUAUAUAGUCCCCAGUGCAGCCCUGUUUCAACAGCCUCUUCACUGCAUACUUGAAAGAAGCAUUGAUUUGAAAAUGAUACGAGUAAAGGGACUUUACCACCAAACAUUUGUAUUUGUCAGAAAUACAAAAACACCUAUCGACUGUAGAGCAUCUGGGUUUUGACAGCCUGCUUUGUAAUUAUUCUAAAGUUAGUUUUAUCUUGUAAAAAGGCAACAUCCAGUCAAACACCCAGUUACCUUUCCUGUACGUACAUGUGCCCGUUAGAUCCUCAUCAGCCAGAAGUACUUCCUCUCUCAGCAUGAGGUCAUUGGACUGAUUCACUUCCUCACGCCUGUUUCUGUCUCCAUACAGAUGUUGUGUUCAGGUGUUACAGUAACAACCAACCAUCGUAACUAGAAGGGCACUCUGAGAGACCACGCAAUGCUAACGAAAAUGAAAAAGAAAACAUUUUUCUGCCCCCUGAAAUUGAAUGGGUUCUUCCUCGGCCCACGCUUCACCAUUCCACCACGCUUCAUGAAAAUCGGCCAGGAGUUUUUCCAAAAUGCUGCUGACAAACGGAUCGAAAGCUUCCCUCCUUAGUGGAGGGGUCAGAGCGGCUUCUCCUAAAAUAUCGAGAAACAGUAGCAGCUCUCAACUUGGGCUCAGCAGGUGGAGAGUAACCUGCAGCUGGAGAUAUCUUAUCCACAGCACCCCUAUCUCUUGUUGUGGAGCUUCUGACAAGUGUCCUCCCCGUACGUCCUGACUGCUCCCUCGGCCUCCCCAACAGCCUCUCCUUUAACUCGAAGCCCUCACCUGACGGUCCUAUCAGUGAUGUUGAUGCUCUCGCCAAUGUCAUCCACCUCCAUGUUAACAUCAUGGUUCUUCAGAAUUCCGACAAUGUCUUCUUUCCUGAGCCGAUCUGCAUACCUAAACAGAUCUACAUCCACCACAAAGGACUCUCUUGACGCCCGAGACGGGAAGGUGGUGCGUGAGGAUGGAGAAGCAUGCGGAGGCUUGUUUCGGCCUCU